AACGAACGCUGGCGGCGUGGAUAAGACAUGCAAGUCGAACGAGAGAAUUGCUAGCUUGCUAAUAAUUCUCUAGUGGCGCACGGGUGAGUAACACGUGAGUAACCUGCCCCCGAGAGCGGGAUAGCCCUGGGAAACUGGGAUUAAUACCGCAUAGUAUCGAAAGAUUAAAGCAGCAAUGCGCUUGGGGAUGGGCUCGCGGCCUAUUAGUUAGUUGGUGAGGUAACGGCUCACCAAGGCGAUGACGGGUAGCCGGUCUGAGAGGAUGUCCGGCCACACUGGAACUGAGACACGGUCCAGACACCUACGGGUGGCAGCAGUCGAGAAUCAUUCACAAUGGGGGAAACCCUGAUGGUGCGACGCCGCGUGGGGGAAUGAAGGUCUUCGGAUUGUAAACCCCUGUCAUGUGGGAGCAAAUUAAAAAGAUAGUACCACAAGAGGAAGAGACGGCUAACUCUGUGCCAGCAGCCGCGGUAAUACAGAGGUCUCAAGCGUUGUUCGGAAUCACUGGGCGUAAAGCGUGCGUAGGCUGUUUCGUAAGUCGUGUGUGAAAGGCGCGGGCUCAACCCGCGGACGGCACAUGAUACUGCGAGACUAGAGUAAUGGAGGGGGAACCGGAAUUCUCGGUGUAGCAGUGAAAUGCGUAGAUAUCGAGAGGAACACUCGUGGCGAAGGCGGGUUCCUGGACAUUAACUGACGCUGAGGCACGAAGGCCAGGGGAGCGAAAGGGAUUAGAUACCCCUGUAGUCCUGGCAGUAAACGGUGCACGCUUGGUGUGCGGGGAAUCGACCCCCUGCGUGCCGGAGCUAACGCGUUAAGCGUGCCGCCUGGGGAGUACGGUCGCAAGAUUAAAACUCAAAGAAAUUGACGGGGACCCGCACAAGCGGUGGAGUAUGUGGCUUAAUUCGAUGCAACGCGAAGAACCUUACCUGGGCUUGACAUGUAAUGAACAACAUGUGAAAGCAUGCGACUCUUCGGAGGCGUUACACAGGUGCUGCAUGGCCGUCGUCAGCUCGUGUCGUGAGAUGUUUGGUUAAGUCCAGCAACGAGCGCAACCCCUGUUGCCAGUUACCAGCACGUGAAGGUGGGGACUCUGGCGAGACUGCCCAGAUCAACUGGGAGGAAGGUGGGGACGACGUCAGGUCAGUAUGGCCCUUAUGCCCAGGGCUGCACACGUACUACAAUGCCCAGUACAGAGGGGGCCGAAGCCGCGAGGCGGAGGAAAUCCUAAAAACUGGGCCCAGUUCGGACUGUAGGCUGCAACCCGCCUACACGAAGCCGGAAUCGCUAGUAAUGGCGCAUCAGCUACGGCGCCGUGAAUACGUUCCCGGGUCUUGUACACACCGCCCGUCACAUCAUGGAAGCUGGUCGCACCCGAAGUAUCUGAAGCCAACCGCAAGGAGGCAGGGUCCUAAGGUGAGACUGGUAACUGGGAUG
rnacentral:rRNA from 1 species